rnacentral:rRNA from 1 species
ACGAACGCUGGCGGCGUGCCUAAACCAUGCCAGUCGAACGCACUCUCGUUUAGAUUGAAGGAGUUUGCUCCUGAUUGAUAAACAUUUGAGUGAGUGGCGGACGGGUGAGUAACACGUGGGUAACCUGCCCUAAAGUGGGGGAUAACAUUUGGAAACAGAUGCUAAUACCGCAUAAAACCUAACACCGCAUGGUGUAGGGUUAAAAGAUGGUUUCGGCUAUCACUUUAGGAUGGACCCGCGGUGCAUUAGUUAGUUGGUGAGGUAAAGGCUCACCAAGACCGUGAUGCAUAGCCGACCUGAGAGGGUAAUCGGCCACACUGGGACUGAGACACGGCCCAGACUCCUACGGGAGGCAGCAGUAGGGAAUCUUCCACAAUGGACGAAAGUCUGAUGGAGCAACGCCGCGUGAGUGAAGAAGGUUUUCGGAUCGUAAAACUCUGUUGUUGGAGAAGAAUGUAUCUGAUAGUAACUGAUCAGGUAGUGACGGUAUCCAACCAGAAAGCCACGGCUAACUACGUG